GGGGUCUUCUCUUAUCUUCAUUUAUAGAAAAAAUAGGAUGAAGGAUGAAAGGAUGAAAAUAUAUUCUGAUAACAUUUUAUCAUAUGGAGCCACAUGGGGGCAUCUUUAAAUGACCUCGUCAGCAGGCAUGCCCUUUGUCCGGCACAUCGGUGGUCGCAACGGCGGGCCUUAUCACGAACACGUGGCAUAAUUAAUGACUUUGUGGUGCCUUAUCAUGGUGCGGAGAGGACCACUUAGGGUAUGACCUCAUGAUGAUGUGGCUUGAUGUGACUCGAUAUGCUACAUGACAGCC
rnacentral:lncRNA from 1 species